GGACGCGUGGGAAACGUUUCCCCUGGUUCAGUGUAGGGAUUAUUCUUUCGAUCCAGGUGCCCAGGAAGAUGCCUUCGAGGACCCGUGGAGAUGCCGUCAAAAGCAGCGGUGGAGCGCUGUUCAACGAGCUCCUGGUGGCCCUGGGAGAUCGGGCGGAGUCGUGGGGAGAAACGUCUCUCGGCCAUUUCUACGGGCAGUAUACUCCCCUCUGAAGAACUGUCCAUUAAUUCUGACUUAACCGACGUGCUUACAUCAGCGUGUGGAACAUUUACAAGUUAAGAUAAUAAGCAGCUGGGCCCCCUGCUUUAAAUCUGAGGACAUUUGGUGCUCCUGACCUCCAGCGGUUUACCUUUAAACUUGACAUUCACUUCUCUGGAUGGGAUGCCGCUUCUUGCUCAAGAGAACUACAGUGCGGUGAAUGCUUGGCAACACAGUUGAAUUAAACCACAGGUGAUGGUCCGCUAUCGUGCAGGAAGGAAAUCCACGGCAGAAGAGGCUGAGAUACCAAUCUCCCUGCUAACGGUCGCUUCAAUAGACUGUAAUGCGAUACAGCCCCAAGACGUGAUCAAGUUUGAGUGAGGGAUAUGAAAAAUUUGAUCUCUUGCUCUUCACGGUCACUGUUGCUGUCGCUAUCGCUAUCACCCCCCCCGCCCC